UUUUCAUCAGUCUGCUGGUUAAUAAAAAAUAACUGCAUUUAAGUUUGUUGAUUGUAAAACUUUAUGUUAGUGUCCUUUAAAUGCUGUUAAAGAGCAAUGCCAAUGCAAAUAGUAAUAAUUCCUGUAUAACUCAUAUUCAUCCUCAGGUUUGCCAUCCACAAGUGAUACAGGAAAGAGAAAAUCAGACCUUCAAAGUGACACCAUCAGGUUGCAGUCACCAGCUAAGCGACAACGUCUGUCUGUGCCAGGAUUUGAAGAACCAGUCAUACUGUCUGAUGUGAAAAGCAUCAUGACAUUUGUACAUCCCAGACUAAAUACCGUAUUUUCACGACCAUAAGACGCACCGUACUAAAAGGCGCAGUCUCAGUUAUGUGUGCCAUUACUGUAUUUAACACACACAUAAGGCGCACCUGAUUAUAGGGCGCCUACAAUUAUGCGUGUUUAAAAAUAAAGCGGGAGCAAAACUGAGUUUGGUACUCACAUUUUUAUUACCGGUAAUUGUCAUCAAUCAAACCCA